rnacentral:misc_RNA from 1 species
GAUGAAGAACGCAGCGAAAUGCGAUAAGUAAUGUGAAUUGCAGAAUCCAGUGAAUCAUCGAAUCUUUGAACGCACAUUGCGCCCGCCAGCAUUCUGGCGGGCAUGCCUGUUCGAGCGUCAUUUCAACCCUCGACCUCCCUUUGGGGAAGUCGGCGUUGGGGACCGGCAGCACACCGCCGGCCCUGAAAUGGAGUGGCGGCCCGUCCGCGGCGACCUCUGCGUAGUAAUCCAACUCGCACCGGAACCCCGACGCGGCCACGCCGUAAAACACCCAACUUCUGAACGUUGACCUCGAAUCAGGUAGGACUACCCGCUGAACUUAAGCAUAUCAACAAGCGGAGGA